rnacentral:misc_RNA from 1 species
UUUCCGUAGGUGAACCUGCGGAAGGAUCAUUAUCGAGUUUUGACUGGGUUGUACCUUGCCUUCCUAAGCAUCUGCACUCCCUGCUCAUCCACUCUACACUUGUGCACUCACUCUGGGCAUCAGAGCGUGAAGCGUGCUCUUUUACCGCUGCUACUGAAGCGGUUCUGUGACUGCUUUUAUUUAAAACGCCAAAACGUAUAAGAACGGGUAUUACGAUGCAAGCAUUCAAUAAACACCUUUCAGCAACGAAUCGCUUAGGUCUCGCAUCGAGGAAGAACC